rnacentral:rRNA from 1 species
UACGUAGGUGGCAAGCGUUGUCCGGAAUUAUUGGGCGUAAAGCGUGCGUAGGUGGUCUUUUAAGUCGGAUGUGAAAUCCCUGAGCUUAACUUAGGAAUUGCAUUCGAUACUGGGAGACUAGAGUAUGGGAGAGGAUGGUAGAAUUCCAGGUGUAGCGGUGAAAUGCGUAGAGAUCUGGAGGAAUACCGAUGGCGAAGGCAGCCAUCUGGCCUAAUACUGACGCUGAGGUACGAAAGCAUGGGGAGCAAACAGG